rnacentral:rRNA from 1 species
AGUGGGUCAUUUCUGGUAAGCAGGACUGAUAAUGAGGGAUGAACCUAACGUUGUGCUAAGGGGCCUAAACGAUAGCUAUCUCUUGAUACCAUUGGAAGGGUGUUGCUGGCUGAAGACAGCAGGACGGUGGUCAUGGAAGUUGACAUCCGCUAAGUAGUGUGUAACAACUAAUCCUGCCGAAGCUAACAACCCUGAAAAUGGAUGGCACUAAAGCUCUCUCCCGAUGCACAACCGUCGGGGCAGUAAAGGCUUCAGAAGGACAUUUGUCAGAACUAUAAGUCUCAAAGCCCCGACGAGUAGGGUGGCGUGCCGGUGAGCGUUGAAGGUCUUGACGUGAGUCAGGCUGGAGCCGCCGGUAGUGCA